rnacentral:rRNA from 1 species
GACAGAGGGUGCAAACGUUGCUCGGAAUUACUGGGCGUAAAGAGCUCGUAGGCGGCCGGUUGCGUCUGCUGUGAAAUCCCGGGGCUUAACCCCGGGCGUGCAGUGGAUACGGGCUGGCUGGAGGCAGGCAGGGGAGAAUGGAAUUCCCGGUGUAGCGGUGAAAUGCGCAGAUAUCGGGAGGAACACCGGUGGCGAAGGCGGUUCUCUGGGCCUGUGCUGACGCUGAGGAGCGAAAGCGUGGGGAGCGAACAGG